rnacentral:rRNA from 1 species
AUUGAACGCUGGCGGCAUGCUUUACACAUGCAAGUCGAACGGCAGCGCGGGCUUCGGCCUGGCGGCGAGUGGCGAACGGGUGAGUAAUACAUCGGAACGUGCCCAGUAGUGGGGGAUAGCUCGGCGAAAGCCGGAUUAAUACCGCAUACGACCUGAGGGUGAAAGCGGGGGAUCUUCGGACCUCGCGCUAUUGGAGCGGCCGAUGGCAGAUUAGCUAGUUGGUGGGGUAAAGGCCUACCAAGGCGACGAUCUGUAGCUGGUCUGAGAGGGCGACCAGCCACACUGGGACUGAGACACGGCCCAGACUCCUACGGGAGGCAGCAGUGGGGAAUUUUGGACAAUGGGCGAAAGCCUGAUCCAGCAAUGCCGCGUGUGUGAUGAAGGCCUUCGGGUGGUAAAGCACUUUUGGCGGGAACGAAAAGGACUGUGCCAAUACCACGGUUCGAUGACGGUACCCGCAGAAUAAGCACCGGCUAACUACGUG